rnacentral:rRNA from 1 species
GUGUCAGCAGCCGCGGUAAUACAGAGGGUGCCAGCGUUGUUCGGAAUUAUUGGGCGUAAAGGGCGCGUAGGCGGCGCCGUAUGUCGGGUGUGAAAUCCCACCUCUUAAAGGUGGAAUUGCAUUCGAAACUACGGCGCUGGAGUAUCGGAGAGGAUGGUGGAAUUCCUGGUGUAGAGGUGAAAUUCGUAGAUAUCAGGAGGAACACCGGUGGCGAAGGCGGCCAUCUGGACGAAUACUGACGCUGAGGCGCGAAAGCGUGGGGAUCAAACAGGAUUAGAUACCCCUGUAGUCC